GUCCAUGUGCUCUGGUGCAAGUUGAUGGACACCUUUUUUCUUUCGUUUUCCGGAAACGCUGACCACAUUCGCCAUAAUGCCAUGUGAUAAGUUGUUGAUGGCCACUUAGCUUCGCGCUCCACCGUCUGAACAAGUUGUGAAACUUUUUUUUUUUUGGGUUACCGAACAAGUUGAGAACCUAAUGCGGUCAACAAAGUAAGCACUCACCUUCACAUAUCAAAUGCUACUUAAAAAAAAAAGAUCACACAGAGAGUGUAUUGGAAACGUAUAGGAACGGUACAUCACAUUAAAAAAUAAUUAAGGUACGGAGUACGUUAGAAAUAAGUUCUAAAGAUUUGAAAUCCCGUAAAACUUCCACGGAAUUUCUACUACAAAUCACGG
rnacentral:lncRNA from 1 species